AAUCCAUGAUGUGGGCAUUAUCUAAUCAUAUUAUUAAAUCUAUCCCAUUCUUCAAAUAGUGAUUCAAAGUCUGACUAUCUGAAGCUUGCUAUCAAAUUUCUCAUAUG